GCGUGUUAGCGUGCGUGGCGUGGCGUGGCAUGGCGUGGCGUGGCUGUACAGCGUCGUUCCGUUCCGUGCCGAGCCGAGCCGUGCACAGUUCGCAACACGGUGUUCGUGUUCGUGUUGCACGACUGUCUCGCUCCCGCACGCGUUCGUACGUGUAGCCGAGCGAGGCUACGCGCGGCUCCGUGUAUAUCGCGUUGCGUUGUGUGUUGGCAGAACGUCGCGGUAGCCGCGCCAGAGAGAUGGGAUUGCGCGAUAGGCCGCGUGUCGAAAAUAGAAAUAUAAUCUGAUAGGCUCAUUGUGCCC